GAAUUUUGUUACCGCAAGGUUGAAAAGAGAUAUAAUUAUAUAAUAACAUUUGUAAGUCGCACAGAAAUGGAAACAAAUUUAAAAAUAUUCAAAUUACAUUAAAAGUUAUAAUAGGUUUAAUGAAAAUAACUAAAUAUAAAGUUAUAUUAAGAAUAGUAUCAGUAGAACGUAUUUGUCUAACAAUUUUAGAUAGACAGUCAGCCUGUCUCGAAGAGUUUCCCUGAGGAUUUGCGAAACCGCAGCGCUGGCAAACUGCAUUAGCAGAUUAUUUAAGUGGAGAAGGAUCAGAGCUUAAUCCACC
rnacentral:misc_RNA from 1 species